rnacentral:rRNA from 1 species
AAAUCCAGCCGGCUAAUACCUGGUUGGGAUGACGGUACCCAAAGAAUAAGCACCGGCUAACUUCGUGCCAGCAGCCGCGGUAAUACGAAGGGUGCAAGCGUUACUCGGAAUUACUGGGCGUAAAGCGUGCGUAGGUGGUUAUUUAAGUCCGUUGUGAAAGCCCUGGGCUCGAACCUGGGAACUGCAGUGGAUACUGGAUGACUAGAAUGUGGAUAGAGGGUAGCUCGAAUUCCAUGGUGUAGCAGUGAAAUGCCGUAGAGAUCAUGAGGAACAUCCAUGGCGAAGGCAGCUACCUGGACCAACAUUAGACACUGAGGCACGAAUAGCGUGGGAAGCAAACAGGAUUAGAUACCCAUGGUAGUCCACUGCCCUAAACGAUGCGAACUGAGAUGUUGGGUGCAAUUUGGCACAGCAGUAUCGGAAGCUAACGCGUUAAGUUCAGCAGCCUGGGGAGUACGAG